GCCAGCAGCAUCUUAGCAGUGUACUUAUUGGGAAUAUUUUUAAUCAUGAUGGUUGUUCGGGGGUCUUCACCACGACUGAUACGCUCAAGAUCAAGCCCAUUUUGCCCAUUAUCAGCUUGAUCAUGUGAUUUGUCAGGCUUUCUACUGAAAAAGAUUUUCUGCCUAGGUUUAGGACUUCCAAAAUGUGCGGGGUCUUUAUUUUCGCCACGAGCAUGCAAGCUGUUACGAGAACCAAGUUCCUGCCGAUGCACAGGACAGUUGCCAGAAAGCUCCUUACUUCCAAGAGAAUGUGGACGUAAUGCAGGGGAAUCUGUUGAAUCGUCUAGAAAAGUUCGUUGCAAGUGCCAGUACAAGGGAUCUGAAAUUAUCUCUGAACGCAAACUGUG
rnacentral:misc_RNA from 1 species